CCCUAUAAGGUCAGAUUUACAUUAAUUAUCUUAAAAUUAGUACUUUUUAGUUAAUUAAAAGACAACGCCCUUUUAUACAGCGCGGCUAUUGCGUUAUUUCUGGGAAUAGGUAGGUAGGUAGGAAUAGGUUUUAAUAAGGCAGGCAACGUGGGCACUAUAUUACUUUAUAGUCUGGUUUAGGUAUGUGGUAAAAUUAUAUGGAACUUUUGCAAUAUUCGCGGUUACGGCCCAAAUUAAUAGUGAGCAUGUUUUAUUUUGAGCAGGUUAAGAAGUCAAGGUUAAGCAAUUUUAAUUCAAACGAUGUAUACUCAUUUACUGAGCUUACAAAAAAUUGACAGAGCACAUAUUUUUUGACACGCUUUUAUUAGCUGCGUAGGUAUGUUUAUUUUUGCUAUUCGGUACUAUUUUAGUUUUUAAUCUAUAUAUUAUAUUAUUCUACCGCCAUACCACUCUGAGCUAAACUGUCAUUUUAGCUUGAAUAACUUACCUACUUUUGAUUAAAGUGAGUUUUUUUUUUAUUUCUUAAAGAUAUAAUUCUAUAAUAUUAUGAAAUGCACCCUUUUUCAGUAGUCACUGAUCAAUAUAAGACUUUGUUAACAGAUUAUAGUCGCAGUGGAAAUUGCAUAUUGCCGGAACCAUCGAACAAGGCCACGACAACUCGGUCAUCGGGUCGUCAGUUGGAGUACGAAUUGCGAGGACGCGCCCAGAACAAGUCGGCACGCCUACGGGAGGGAGGAUAUAUCACUCCUUCCCGCAUUGCGACACUACGUGCCAUUCGGAAGGAGACUAAUUUUAGUUUAAAUUAAUGCAAAUAUACGCAAUAUGAAAUAUUAAUGCGACGCAUGUAAUACUUUGAAUGCGUCCAUGGCGCGCUGAUUACGUAAGAUUUAUUUCGGCUAUGUUAUUAGCAUGCAACAGUGACGAAAAUAAAAACUACUAUUAGGAGGAAACACCGUCUUGUAUCCUAGCGUUUGUACUCGGCACAUUUUGCCGGCCGGUUCCGUACGGAUGUGGAAUAAAUACUGUUGUUUGUUUCCCUAUUAAACUUAUUUAUAUUUGGAUGUUAUUAAAAGUACAUAAAUUAUCUUAAGAACCUGUUCUCUCUUCUCAACUAUAACCAAAAAUAAUUAUAUACCUGGCUAUUUACAUUAGUUGUAUAUUUUUAUAAAUAAAUAAAAAGUGCCUAACUAACUGACCCUUUAAAACAGAAUCCAUUGAGGCUUUAGUAAUAUGGAUUCCUCAUAAUUAACUCAUUACAGAAUGUUCAGUUUUUUUUAUCGUAAUACAAUAAUUUAAAAUGCUUGGAUAUUCCUGCUGCUUUGUAUUAAUUUAUAAUUUUGUACUUACUUAAGAGUAGUCCAGCUGGCAAGACAACUCUCACCAGCAGCAUAGAAAAGUAAUAUUUAUGCAUUAUGAUUGAUGAUGCCUGAAACAAGUAAAAAAUAAUUAAGCAAACUGUAUAUGUUUAUUUUCAUAAAAAAUCUUCAUUUUAAAACAGCAAGAGCAGUAUAUAUUACAAAGGAAUCAAUAAAUAGAUUGAGUUAAGUAGUAUUUAACUGACAAUGGGUUCAAACUUAGAUGUACACAUAUGUAUAUAUUUAAUUUUAGGCUUUAUUUCAGCUACUGCAUUAGUAGAUGUUAAUUUAAAAAAAAGAACAAAUAGAUAUGAAAGCUGUUGUGAUUUUAGGCGCAUCAAAAUAUUUUUAUGGAAAUCAUAAGCUUAUCAGCAAAGUCAUCAUUAAGUGUGUAAAGUAAUAAUUUUUCACAUAGGACCAUUUGUUUAAUUAAUCAUUCAAAAUUAUAUAGAUACAUAAAUAUUUAAAAAUGACUAUCAAAGGACAAUACUCAAGGCAUUUAAGACUAGUAGGCAAAUAAAGGUAAGUAAUUUUCUAGUAAGUUUAAACCCUAGAAAAUUAAGGAGGCAGCGCAAGAGUUUAUGCAUGUCUUAUGUAUAAAUUACAAUUAACAUUUUACUAUUUUUUUACAGUUAAAAAUUAGUCCAAAAAUACGUAUUAGCAUAAACCUACAACUUCCUUAGAGCUGGAAGUCAUAAAGUCAAAAGUCAUAUUGCAUAUUCUCAAAAUGUUUACUUUAGGGAUUUAUUUUGAGGAACUGGUUUAAAAUUGAAGAUUUAUAUUUGUUGCUUUAACUAACUAAUGUGUUAAAUAAAUAAAUAAAUAUUUACUAACAAUCGCGCCACGUUAACUGGUCCCGUGAUAAGUUCGUAAAGAACUUGUGUUACAGGUACCAGAUAAGGGAUAUAAAUGUAAGAUUUUUAUUAUACACAUACAUAUAUUUUAAUAUACAUCCAUAGCCCUGGAAAAUACAUUUAUAUUUAUCAUACAAAUAUCUUCCCUUGGCGGGAUUCGAACCCGCGACCCCCCUGUGUAGUGACCAUGUCACUUACCACUACACCAGACGGCCGUUAAAUACAAGAAAUAGUUUAAAAAUUAUGUAGAUAAUAUCCAUAAAAUAUUUCUCUUAAUCUUUUAUAUAAUACAUAUUAAAAGUAACAAAA